CCUACGGGUGGCAGCAGUGGGGAAUAUUGCGCAAUGGAGGGAACUCUGACGCAGCAACGCCGCGUGAGUGAAGAAGGCCCUCGGGUUGUAAAGCUCCUUAAUCAGGGACGAAGAAUGACGGUACCUGAAGAAUAAGCUCCGGCUAACUACGUGCCAGCAGCCGCGGUAAUACGUAGGGAGCAAGCGUUAUCCGGAUUUACUGGGUGUAACGGGCGUGUAGGCGGGCCUGCAAGUGAGAAGUGAAAUCUGGGGGCUUAACCCCCAAACUGCUUUUGAAACUGUGGGUCUUGAGUGUAGGGGAGGCAGGCGGAAUUCCCGGUGUAGCGGUGAAAUGCGUAGAUAUUGGGAGGAACACCAGUGGCGAAGGCAGCCUGCUGGACAUUAACUGACGCUGAGGCGCGAAAGCGUGGGUAGCGAACGGGAUUAGAUACCCCAGUAGUC
rnacentral:rRNA from 1 species